rnacentral:tRNA from 1 species
GCGGCUAUGGCUCAAUGGUAGAGCAUCUGGUUGUGGCCCAGAAGGUUGUGGGUUCGAGCCCCACUAGUCGCC